GCUGGCGGCAUGCCUCAUACAUGCAAGUCGAACGAGGUCCUCGGACCUAGUGGCGCACGGGUGAGUAACAUGUGGGAAUCUACCUGAAGGUUCGGAAUAACUGCGGGAAACUGUAGCUAAUACCGGAUGUGUCUGCAAAGAGAAAGAUUUAUCGCCUUCAGAUGAGCCCGCACUAGAUUAGCUAGUUGGUGAGGUAACUGCUCCACCAAGGCUACGAUCUAUAGCUGAUUUGAGAGGAUGAUCAGCCACACUGGGACUGAGACACGGCCCAGACUCCUACGGGAGGCAGCAGUAGGGAAUAUUGGACAAUGGGGGAAACCCUGAUCCAGCAAUGCCGCGUGAGUGAAGAAGGCCCUCGGGUUGUAAAACUCUUUCAUCAAUGAUGAUAAUGACAUUAGUUGAAGAAGAAGCUCCGGCUAACUUCGUGCCAGCAGCCGCGGUAAUACGAAGGGGGCUAGCGUUGUUCGGAAUCACUGGGCGUAAAGCGUAUGUAGGCGGAUCAAAAAGUUAGAUGUGAAAUCCCUGGGCUCAACCCAGGAACUGCAUUUAAAACUAGUGAUCUAGAAUUUGGUAAGGGUUAGUAGAAUUUCCAGUGUAGAGGUGAAAUUCGUAGAUAUUGGAAAGAAUACCAGAAGCGAAGGCGACUAACUAGGCCAUUUUUGACGCUGAGAUACGAAAGCGUGGGUAGCAAACAGGAUUAGAUACCCUGGUAGUCCACGCAGUAAACGAUGAGUGCUAGUCGCUGGUACAGUAGUAUCAGUGUCGUAGCUAACGCAUUAAGCACUCCGCCU
rnacentral:rRNA from 1 species